GAGGAUACGGUAGCCCUUUCCCCAGAUGAUCGACAACAAACGUACUGAGCGCUAUAAUUUCUCAAUUGAGAAUACCAGGGUAGAACUCUGAUCCUC
rnacentral:snoRNA from 2 species